rnacentral:rRNA from 1 species
GACGAACGCUGGCGGCGUGCUUAACACAUGCAAGUCGAACGGUAAGGCCCUUCGGGGUACACGAGUGGCGAACGGGUGAGUAACACGUGGGUGAUCUGCCCUGCACUUCGGGAUAAGCCUGGGAAACUGGGUCUAAUACCGGAUAGGACCACUGCCUGCAUGGGUGGUGGUGGAAAGCUUUUGCGGUGUGGGAUGGGCCCGCGGCCUAUCAGCUUGUUGGUGGGGUAAUGGCCUACCAAGGCGACGACGGGUAGCCGGCCUGAGAGGGUGACCGGCCACACUGUGACUGAGAUACGGCCCAGACUCCUACGGGAGGCAGCAGUGGGGAAUAUUGCACAAUGGGCGCAAGCCUGAUGCAGCGACGCCGCGUGAGGGAGGACGGCCUUCGGGUUGUAAGCCUCUUUCAGCACCGACGAAGCGCAAGUGACGGUAGGUGCAGAAGAAGGACCGGCCAACUACGUGCCAGCAGCCGCCGUAA